AGCAGGAAGCUGAGGUUAGUUGAGCAGAUGGGAUGAACGGAAGAAAAUCAAAUAUGAAUUAAUCAGUUGGGCCAUGGAGAGGGAGGAAAACCUCUUUCUAGUUGUUCAAAAAGGCAGUGGACCCUGGAGAUUUAGGAAAGAAAAUGUUGGGUGACAGACACAUUUGAACUUGAACAUUCAUCUACUGGUGACUUUUCAAUUCCAUUUUCAUAUGAGGAAGAUGCAAGAAGAGCCAGGGAGUUGGUCCACUGAGGGCUGCAGAAUGGUGACAAAGCUCUACCAGCAUGUCCUGGCCAUGGUGUUUGCUGUAAAUGAAGUCAACAAGAACACCAAGAACUUGCCCAAUGUCACACUUGGCUUCCACAUCUACGACAGCUACUAUGAUGCAAAGAUGACCACGCGUGCCACUCUGGACCUUCUCUUCAAAUUGCACAAAUUUGUCCCCAAUUACAAAUGCGAUACCAAAAAAAACCUCAUAGCCAUCAUUGGAGGACUUGGCUCUGACAUCUCUUUUUGCAUGGCAGAUAUCUUGAGUCUCUACAAGAUUCCACAGUUCACAUGUGGCUCAUUUCCCCAAGAAGAGAGCAACACAGCACAGGUCUCGUCCUUUUACCACACGGUCCCAAAUGAAAUUCAUCAGGAUCUGGGGAUUAUCCAGUUGCUUAAGCAUUUUGGAUGGACAUGGGUUGGGCUAUUGGCUGAGGACAAUGACAGUGGGGAAUGUUUCUUGAAGACUUUGGAGCCAUUGCUCUCCCAGAAUGGAAUAUGUUCAGCAUUCACAGUGCGAAUCCCACAACAGUCCAGUAGGAACAACAUAGAUGAGCUAAACAGUAUGGCUAGAAAUAUUUACCAAACUUUCUUGGGUACCAAAUCCAGAGUCUUUGUCGUCUAUGGUGAAACUAUGACUAUUUUAUGCCUGACCGGUUUAAUGUUUCUAGCCACUCCAGAACUUAAACAAAACACAUCUUUUGGGAAAGUGUGGAUUAUGACAGCCCAGACUGAUUUCCCAGUAAUGACCUUUUUCAGGAAUCUUCAAAUGUUCCAUGGAACUAUUUCCUUUGCGAUUCACUCAGACGAUUGUCCAGGAUUCCAGAUUUACCUUCAGAACACAAAACCUUACUGGACACAAGGAGAUGGUUUUUUCAAGGAUUUUUGGGAGCAAGCAUUUAGCUGUUCAUUUCCAAAUCCCAGUGUGCCAAAUGAAGAUAAAAUAUGUAUUGGGGAGAAGAAUUUGGGGACCCUUCCUGCAUCUGUAUUUGACAUGCAUAUGCUUGGCCAUAGCUACAAUAUAUAUAACGUUGUCUAUGCUGUGGCGCAUGCUUUGCAGACCAUAGAUACAUCUAAAUCCAGCCACAGGGCAAUGAAGAGCAAAAAUGCUGAACUUCAAGAUCUCCGCCCUUGGCAGCUCCACCCAUUUCUUCAAGGUGUUUCCUUUAACAACUCAGUUGGAGAAAGAGUGUCCUUUGAUGAGAACAGGGAAAUGGGAACUGGAUUUGAUAUUAUGAAUGUGCUCAUAUACCCAAAUAGUUCCUCCCUUAAAGUGAAAGUUGGAAGAGUGGAUUCCAAGGAAGGAAAACAUUUCAUCAUUAGUGAGGAUAUAAUUGUGUGGCAAAGAGGUUUUAAUGAGAGCUGUGAGGAAGUCAAAGAAAAGUUAUUCAACAGACACAAGACUACUAUGGACCACCAUCUGGCCAUCUCUGAUGCAAUCAGUUGAGGCACUCAGUUGAGUAGUCCAUUCCUCCAGUAUUAUCCUCAGCUAAGAAACUGACUGACAACAUUAAUUUCUUCCAAUCAACUCAUGAAAGUAUUGGCAGAUUUUCUUCCCCUUACAUCAUAUUCUGUGCUUCCUCUUUCUCAGUGCACUGACUCCUGCAAACCCGGUUAUCAGAAGAAAAUGAAGGAGGGGGAGAAAUUUUGUUGCUACGAUUGUGCUGCAUGCCCAGAAGGAAAGAUUUCUAACUAGAAGGACAUGAAUGAUUGUAUCCAGUGCCCAGAAGAUCAUCAUCCAAGCCAGGCCUCAGAUAGAUGCAUUCCCAAAUUUAUAACUUUUCUAUCUUAUGAAGAACCUAUAGGGAUUAUUUUCAUGACAGUGGCCAUUUGUUUGUCAUUGAUCACAGUUUGGAUACUAAGAACUUUUAUUAAACUCAAGGAUACCCCCAUAGUCAAAGCCAACAACAGAGAUAUCACCUACGCUCUCCUCGUCUCCCUCCUCCUCUGCUUCCU